rnacentral:tRNA from 2 species
AAAGGUUUAGUUAAACUAAUAACGUUAGUUUGUCAAACUAAAAUUACUUAUAGGUAUCCUUUA